AUGGGGAUACCAGGCAAAGGUGGGCUUUCAACCCUCUCCCUGGAAGCGGCCAACAGCCCAGCCGGAGCCUUCGGGCAAGCCCGGCCCCAGGCACAGAGCCGGUGGAUCUGGUGGCCACGGUGCCCUGGAAAUGUAAUGCCCCUGUGGACAGCAAGCUCCUUCCUGUCCCCUCCGAGCCUGGCUUCUGGGCUCAGCAGGUCAGCACUUUCUACAAAGUCCACACGCAGCACACAGAGCCCGGCUAGGCGGUACGUGGCACGCCUCCGGGGGAGCAAGCCGCCAGGACCCGCCGCAUGCCAGGGGCACGACCAUUUCCCUGGAGCACACUCCCCGCCAUGCUGCCCGCCCUCCUUGAGACCCCUGCGCCUGGAUCUCCUCCCUCUGCCCGCCUUCCUGUCUCCUCCUGAUGUCCCCAGUUCCCAGCGGGGAGCGAGGCGGCCAAGGCACCCUGCCCUCCCCACCCAGCCACCCUUGCUUCCUCCUUCAGCCAGCUACACUCCCGCUGCAGACAGAGGUGAAAGAGCCCCCAGAGGAGGGCGUCCCAGACCUGCCUGGAACCCGGGAAACAGCCUGCGCUCCUGGUCCCCUGGCCCACCCACCCACCUACCUGCGCGCCAACCCCACCCUGGGACCUCCUCUUUGGGUGGUCAGCAACAUCUCGAGACCAACAUCUGCACAGCCCAACGUUUAUCUGAGCCUGGUCUCACCUGCCGCCCCCCGGCCAUGGUGGGAGACAGGCCCAGCAGCGAGACGCAAGGUUCCGAGAGCAGAGAACAUAGGACAGAGGGAAGGCUGUCGGUCAGAUGAGGCGGGCAGGGCAGACAUGGCCGCAUGCCGGUCUCCAUCAGUCCAUCCUUGACCAUCUCCCCAAGUCUCGAAGACCCACAGUGGCCGCUCCCACACCGGCCGGCUGGGAAAAGGCCCACGGUGGAGGGUGCACGCCGGGGCAGCCAGGGAUUGGUCACUGCCUGAAUGUCCCCGGACGGAUGCCCGUGUGCCCUUGGGCAGCCUUCCCCCCGGACAGGCUGUCCAGGCCGGGGAAACCCUAAGCCAAAGGGAUUAAGAAGAAAGGACAGAAUCGGCCGUUCCUUUGGCCGUGAUCAUUUGUGCCUCAUUUAGUGUAUAUUUGUUCAGUGGGUAAAAACACGGAGGUGAUGACGCCAAGGUCGGGAUGUGCUCCCAUCACUCAGGUCAGCCGCACGGAGGCCGGCCCCGCCCGCCCGCCCGCCCUGCCAGCCUGCCUCUCCCCAGCAGCCAUCUUGCACAUUCCUGUGGUCAGCCGGGAGGGCCACGGGAUCCUUCCCCAGCUCUGGGGUGACCGGAUGGGGAUGCGAGUGCAACCCUCUGCUCAGGCGCUGGAACCGGCCCGGGGCCCCUGACCCAAGCCCUGAGCAUCCUCCCUGCAGGCCCCUGUCCCAGAUGGGGCUGGAACCUCCAGCCUCGCUCUGGUCUGAGCUAGGGGUCCAACCCUGGAUGGCCACCUCUUCCUUCAUGGGCCUGGCCAGCCCCUGCGAGCUGAAGGUGUUUGCUGAUAGGCACCUUGUGGGGGGUCCCUGGGGGCCCCAGGGCUCCUGUGGCUGCAGACCUGGGAUCCCAGGCACCUUGGAGAUGCCAGGCCAUGGUUGACUUCUGCUCAACAGCCUCCUGACCCCAUUGCGUGCUAGAGGCUUCCUGGGGUGGGGGCACACAGGGAAGAGCCUGGAGGGUCUUUCUCAGGAUGGGGCUGGUGGGAAAGAUGCUCUAGUCUCUCCCGCCUAUCAGCAAUGGGAUGUUGAUGGUGGCCUUGACCGCAAAACCCCAGGUCACCGCGGCAAAGGCCAG
ensembl:lncRNA